GUGCGGCCUGGACACUGGGGGGAUGGAUCUGCAGCCCUCCCCCCCGACAGGGGAAGGCCCCUUCCCGGGUGUCCCAGGCCAGAGGCCGUCGCGUCCCUCCCACGGCCGAGGCUCCACACCUCCCGGACCGACUCCGGGCCAGGGUCCGCCUGCUCCGGUUCUGGCCCCCGCGGGGGUGACGUUCGGGACGUCGGGGGCUCGCGCAGAUCCGCGCUGGAUCUCAGGCGGCCCUGGGACCCAGGCGCGGCGUUUUACCUGCAGCGGCUGUGCUCGCCCCGCCGCGACCCCCGCAGGACGGAGCCGGAUCCCCCUGCACUCGGGCGGACCUGGGACCCUCAGAGGCGAGCCGGCUGCCUCGGGUCACACAUCCGCGAACUCCGGGGGCGGGCUCCCCAGGACGCCGCCGACCCCCCACGACCCCCAGCCCUCCCGCUUCCGUGGAAAGCCGCCCCGACGACCCCUGUGCGGGCUGUUGAGGGGCCGCACCCCGCCGACCGCUGUGGGAACACCUCCGCGCGUGCGGCGGGGACGCGGCGAGUCCGGGGCAGGAAGAACGCACGGGAAAGGCCCCCUCCCCGCUGCCGGGUGGAGAGGGAGCGUGGGGGGAUCCGCCUUCUGCCCCCGAGCCCCCAGCCAGCCUGGGCCCCCCAGGGUCACCCUGGGGCUCUGAAGGGGGCUUCGGCCGCUGGUUGAAUGAAGGGCCACAGAAAAUGAAGCUGGCGCAACGACCGCAGAACCCUCAGUGGGCACCAGGACCACGGAGCUCAGGGUGCCAAUGGUAUGGGGUGGGGGUGGCGGUGGAGUGCGUCCUGGCGCAGAGCUGGCACACAGCACAAACAAACGCCUUGGCGGGAGUGGGUCUGUCCCGGAAGGGAGCCCAGGGGUUAUUGGGGUUGGGGCUGCGCCCCAAAGCGGGAGGGCCCUGCGAGAAGGGAGGCCCUGGCUGGAGGGGGACCCUGAGACUGGAGGUGCCGGACCCGGAUGCGGGGCCAGGACACGGGGACACAGCAACUGGACUGGGAGCAGCAGGGCUUGCAGCAGCUGGAUUGGCAACAGGAUGACCCACAGCCUGAGGAACAGCAGCAGGGCUUACAGCAACUGCACUGGGAGCAGGAUGACCCGCAGCCUCCCUUAGACCCCGCGCAAGAGCCACAACUGGAACAGGAACAGCAACACACGGGCACACCGCAGCCGGAGCCACAGCCCCCACAGCCGGAGCCACAACCCCCCUUGGAUCCCCCACAAGAUGGAGACAACAGGAAGGAAAGAGACCUUCCUGGUCACACUUGGGCCACAGGAGAACAGGCAGCGGCCCAGGAGGAUCCAGGGUCCUGAUGGUGGUUGAGAAGCUGGUUCUUAGUGAUCACUCAGAAACGUCGGCCUGGCCUUGUGGGGUCAGACCUUGCAUCUCAGUCAGCCCAGGGAGAAGAAGAAGAUGGUCCACACCCAAGUGCAGGGAACAUCGUGGCAGUCGGCUGGGUGCCUGCGUCCAGGCGAGGACACCUCCCGCAUCAGGGAAACACACGUUUCUGGAGUGAGGAGGCUGAAGGCAGGGCCCAGAGGAGAGCUGAGCCAUGGAAGGAGGUGUGUGCAUGGAUGGUGAGCUAGAGCAGGUGCAGGUGCCUCAGGGAGGAUGUGUGGGACGAACUGACUCAGGGAACCAUAAGAAAUGCUUUCACCAAACAGGAGAAACCUGAAGGUCUGGGUCCAGAGCCUCAGAUCUUACACUGGCAGCACACAGGGACACAACAGUUGGACUGGCAGCAACAGGGCUUGCAGCAGCUGGACUGGCAGCACACGGGGACACAGCAGCUGGACUGGCAGCAGCAGGGCUUGCAGCAGCUGGACUGGCAGCAGGAUGAUCCACAGCCUGAGGAGCAGCAACAGGGCUUACAACAGCUGGACUGGGAGCAGCCACAAGAACCACAGCCCCCCUUGGAACCCCCACAGGAGCCACAGCCCCCCUUGGAGCCCCCACAGGAGCCACAGCCCCCCUUGGAGCCCCCACAGGAGCCACAGCUGGUGCAGGAACAGGCUGGCACCCAGGAGCACACGGGCUUGCAGCAGCAGACAGGCACAUAACAUCUGGAGCCACAUCCCCCACAGCUGGAGCUGCAGCCCCCACAGCCAGAGCCACAGCCCCCACGGCCGGAGCCACAGCCCCCACAGCCAGAGCCACAACCCCCACAGCUGGAGCCACAGCCCCCACAGCCGGAGCCACAGCCUCUGGAGCAGCCACAGCAGCCCAUGGUUCUGGUGGAUUGAGGGUGGAGCAGGUAGAGGAGCAGGUGAGAGGGAGGUGCAGGUGUGGAGCUCCCUGAGCCUGGGCUCUUUAUAUACCUGUCCAGAUGUCAGGCAUGACACAGGGUCCCUUUCUUGUGACUGUUUACACUAUUUUUCCAGAGCUCUAUUUUUUUCCUCUUUGCUAGUGACUUCCUUCUGGCUCAGUUGAGCAUCUACUUUCUUUGUUUUCUAAAUUUGUCUUUUUCCCCAUUUGUUUUGGCCCCUACAAUUAAAACCUCAGCUCCAGGCUGUCUGGUUCUUCCUGCAAAGCUCCAGGGUGCUGGUCACCUGCUCUCUGCUGACCACAUGUGACCAAUGGGCAACAGCCUCUGCCCACGUGCUCUCAUCUUUCCUGUGUUGACUCCCUCAAUAAUAUUAAUUUUACAUUUUUAGAUUUCAAAAUUAUCCACGAUCUUUAUACUCAUGCCAGUCUCAGCUUUCCGGGUGUGUUAGACCAUUCUUUGCAUUGCUCUAAAGAAAUACUUGAGGCUGGGUAAUUUAUAAAGGAAAGAGGUUAGAAUGGCUCAUGGUUCUGCAGGCUGCACAAGCAUGGCACCCACCUCUGCUCAGCUUCUGGGGAGGCCCUCAGGGAGUUUUCCUCACGGUGGAAGGCGAAGCAGGAACAGGCACACCACAUGGUGAGAGUGGGAGCAAGGGGUGAGGAGGAGCCACACACUUGUGAACAACCAGAUCUGAGUGAACACACUCAUCGCCAAGGGGGUGGCACUAAGUCACUCAUGAGGGAUCCACCCCCAUGACCCAGACACCUCCCUGCAGGCCCCUCCUUCAACACUGGCCAACAACUAUAUGAAAAAAUGCUCCACAUCACUAACUAUUCGGGGAAUGUAAAUCGAAACCACCACGAGAUACCAUCUCAUAUCAGUCAGAAUGGCUUUUGAUA
rnacentral:lncRNA from 1 species